UGCAAGUCGAACGAUGACCCGGUGCUUGCACCGGUGAUUAGUGGCGAACGGGUGAGUAACACGUGAGUAACCUGCCCUUAACUCUGGGAUAAGCCUGGGAAACUGGGUCUAAUACCGGAUAUGACUCCUCAUCGCAUGGUGGGGGGUGGAAAGCUUUAUUGUGGUUUUGGAUGGACUCGCGGCCUAUCAGCUUGUUGGUGAGGUAAUGGCUCACCAAGGCGACGACGGGUAGCCGGCCUGAGAGGGUGACCGGCCACACUGGGACUGAGACACGGCCCAGACUCCUACGGGAGGCAGCAGUGGGGAAUAUUGCACAAUGGGCGAAAGCCUGAUGCAGCGACGCCGCGUGAGGGAUGACGGCCUUCGGGUUGUAAACCUCUUUCAGUAGGGAAGAAGCGAAAGUGACGGUACCUGCAGAAGAAGCGCCGGCUAACUACGUGCCAGCAGCCGCGGUAAUACGUAGGGCGCAAGCGUUAUCCGGAAUUAUUGGGCGUAAAGAGCUCGUAGGCGGUUUGUCGCGUCUGCCGUGAAAGUCCGGGGCUCAACUCCGGAUCUGCGGUGGGUACGGGCAGACUAGAGUGAUGUAGGGGAGACUGGAAUUCCUGGUGUAGCGGUGAAAUGCGCAGAUAUCAGGAGGAACACCGAUGGCGAAGGCAGGUCUCUGGGCAUUAACUGACGCUGAGGAGCGAAAGCAUGGGGAGCGAACAGGAUUAGAUACCCUGGUAGUCCAUGCCGUAAACGUUGGGCACUAGGUGUGGGGGACAUUCCACGUUUUCCGCGCCGUAGCUAACGCAUUAAGUGCCCCGCCUGGGGAGUACGGCCGCAAGGCUAAAACUCAAAGGAAUUGACGGGGGCCC
rnacentral:rRNA from 1 species